rnacentral:rRNA from 1 species
CUGGGUUAGUCGGGUCCUAAGCUGAGGCCGACAGGCGUAGGCGAUGGAUAACAGGUUGAUAUUCCUGUACCACCUAGUAUCGUUUUAAUCGAUGGGGGGACGCAGUAGGAUAGGCGAAGCGUGCUGUUGGAGUGCACGUCCAAGCAGUAAGGCUGAGUGUUAGGCAAAUCCGGCACUCAUAAGGCUGAGCUGUGAUGGGGAGAGGAAAUUGUUUCCUCGAGUCGUUGAUUUCACACUGCCGAGAAAAGCCUCUAGAUAGAUAACAGGUGCCCGUACCGCAAACCGACACAGGUAGUCAAGAUGAGAAUUCUAAGGUGAGCGAGCGAACUCUCGUUAAGGAACUCGGCAAAAUGACCCCGUAACUUCGGGAGAAGGGGUGCUCUUUAGGGUUCACGCCCAGAAGAGCCGCAGUGAAUAGGCCCAAGCGACUGUUUAUCAAAAACACAGGUCUCUGCUAAACCGUAAGGUGAUGUAUAGGGGCUGACGCCUGCCCGGUGCUGGAAGGUUAAGAGGAGUGGUUAGCUUCUGCGAAGCUACGAAUCGAAGCCCCAGUAAACGGCGGCCGUAACUAUAACGGUCCUAAGGUAGCGAAAUUCCUUGUCGGGUAAGUUCCGACCCGCACGAAAGGCGUAACGAUUUGGGCACUGUCUCAACGAGAGACUCGGUGAAAUCAUAGUACCUGUGAAGAUGCAGGUUACCCGCGACAGGACGGAAAGACCCCGUGGAGCUUUACUGUAGCCUGAUAUUGAAAUUCGGCACAGCUUGUACAGGAUAGGUAGGAGCCUUUGAAACGUGAGCGCUAGCUUACGUGGAGGCGUUGGUGGGAUACUACCCUAGCUGUGUUGGCUUUCUAACCCGCACCACUUAUCGUGGUGGGAGACAGUGUCAGGCGGGCAGUUUGACUGGGGCGGUCGCCUCCUAAAAGGUAACGGAGGCGCUCAAAGGUUCCCUCAGAAUGGUUGGAAAUCAUUCAUAGAGUGUAAAGGCAUAAGGGAGCUUGACUGCGAGACCUACAAGUCGAGCAGGGUCGAAAGACGGACUUAGUGAUCCGGUGGUUCCGCAUGGAAGGGCCAUCGCUCAACGGAUAAAAGCUACCCCGGGGAUAACAGGCUUAUCUCCCCCAAGAGUUCACAUCGACGGGGAGGUUUGGCACCUCGAUGUCGGCUCAUCGCAUCCUGGGGCUGUAGUCGGUCCCAAGGGUUGGGCUGUUCGCCCAUUAAAGCGGUACGCGAGCUGGGUUCAGAACGUCGUGAGACAGUUCGGUCCCUAUCCGUCGUGGGCGUAGGAAAUUUGAGAGGAGCUGUCCUUAGUACGAGAGGACCGGGAUGGACAUACCUCUGGUGUACCAGUUGUCGUGCCAACGGCAUAGCUGGGUAGCUAUGUAUGGACGGGAUAAGUGCUGAAAGCAUCUAAGCAUGAAGCCCCCCUCAAGAUGAGAUUUCCCAACUUCGGUUAUAAGAUC